GGGCGGGGUGUGCGGAUACCGGGAGCACCACGGGGACGAGACGGCGUCCUGCGCCCCGCCCCGGCGCUCCCGGGACCCCCUCCCCGAGGAACACCUCGCUGCCCCCAGCCGUCCCAGAGGGUCCCCGAGCGCCCUUUGCACGAGAAGCGCUGCGCUAUCUUUGGUCAUCUGUUCUGCCCCCAUCGCUCACACGGAGGUGAAGCGACAGCCUCAAAGCCCCCAGCCUGUUAGAAUGGAGGCCGCUGGGGGCCGGGCUUCCUGAUUCCGCCGCUCAGCGCGUCCCCGCCCCACCCGGGGGCCUGGGCGCGGGGCUCCUCACCCACCGCUGUACCCCCUGAAGGCUAUCCUCGGGAACGGGGGAAAAAGGAGCUUGUCACCAGGGUUUGGCCGGGAGGCUGAAGCAGGUCAGGUGGAAGGAAGGAAGAGACAGUCUGCCGGGUCUGCUGUGGGGGGCUGCAGGGGCCAGACUGGGUCACCUCAUUCAUUGAUUGGGUCAGUUAUUGACGCCUUCUACUGUCCUGGGGAUACAAACAGCUCGGGCCUCGGGGGGAAGCUUCUCCCUAGUUUUCAUUAGUUUCCCCUCCCAGCUACUCCAAGUGGAACGUUCAGGAAUGUUCUUUGAUAUGGGUAACUGACACGGUCUUACAUUUUUAUGGCACCCUCAGACAGGGCAUUUGAGGAGAGUUGAAUAAAUGGAAAAUGAAUGAAUUAAAAUAGAAAUGGUGCGGUGCCCAGGGCCAGCAACAAAGGGGAGCUAUGACCACCCCUGACCUGAAGGGCAGCUGUAGCCCCUAGGAGAGACCCACCCACCAGAGCUGUGACCUUGGGGAGAGGGACACAGCAACGUGGGAGGGAGGAGCCUGGCCAUUGAUAUACUGACCUCGCUUUCCUCCCGCAAGUUCUUUUUUCUUUUCUUUUUCUUUCUUUCUUUUCUUUUUUCUUUUUUUUGUCUGCAGAUUCCUCACUGGCUGAAUCUAGCCCCAACUGGGGCAAAGGAGUCCCCAUGGAUACUGUGUCUACGGGUCGGCCUCAGGCCGGGGGGCAGGGCAGUUGGCCCAGUGCCGCGCUAAGGUGUCCAGCAUCUGUUCUGAAGUGCGAAUCAAAGCAUCCUAGACACGUUGCUGUUUCCUUCGUGCGCAGUGACGCACCCACAUAAGCGAAACCCGCGUGCGUCCUAUGCACAGGCAACCUUGAAAUGGGCGGGGCAGGGCUCGGCUGGGCCCCUUCCUCCUGCAGAACCACCCGGACCUGUCCGGGAGCGGGAAGACAGCCUGCAAGUGGCGAUGCAAGCGGUGGGCAGAGCAGUGGAUCAGCAGCCUGACUGUCAGCACAUGUAGGCCACAGAGUUCAGGUGCCUCCUCCUCCAGGAGGCCCUUCUGGAUGCUCUGUUUUUAUUAAACAGUUGUAACAGGGCACGGUUGGAACUGUCAGUUCCCAGGGUGGGGACCGAUCUCGUUCACCAUUGUCCAUCACGGUGCCUGCAUCCACCAGGCGCUCAGCACACACCGGAGGGUGAACGGACCAUGCAUUUUGCUUGGUGAGGCCAGAGCAGGACUUCUGUCCAAGGCAAGGGGUAUUUAUUCACUCGACAAACUUUUCCAGGGGGGCCUUUCUCUACUCGGCCAGGGCUCAGCCUGAAGAAGCCCCAAGGAGGAAAGGACGUGUUCCAGGUGUGAAGUUCGUGGUUCAACACCAGAGGCAUACGGAGUUUCAGGGCGACACAGCCCGAGCCUAGGACCUUCGAGAGUUCAGGGGGGAGAGGACUCCUGGCAGAAUGGGCAUGAGAGAAGGAGGUGGCACUUAAGGUGGCUUCGAAGGGUAGGUAGGAGUUGGAGCAGUGGAAAAGGGAAGACAGGCAAGGGAGGUGAAGCGACAGAGUCCACGGACGCGGCAUCGGGGACUCGGCUGUGCGCAUGCCCCACCUCUGUCCCCGGAGUCGGGGGCCUGGGCGGGCACCCCUCCCCCUUGAUCCCCCACGUGUCACACGGUGGGAACGAUAGGAUUGUGGGGCAGGUAGAAAGAGCAUGUAUGUGAUGUGCUUAGCGCGGUUUUGUACUUGAUAAUUACGGGCUCAGGAAAUACACAGGAGCUUCAUUAUUAGCAUUCGCUGCAGUCGGGGAGCUGGUGGUGGGUCUGGUGGGAUUCUAGGAGCCUGUGGGGCGGGCAGGGAGGGUGUAGAGAGUGGAGAUGGCUCUCAGGGACAGUACGGUUGCCUAUCAUUCCUCCAUCACGUGCGCAGAUGUCACUAAUCCAUCAGACAUUCUUUCCUGCAGAGCCCAGAGGUAGCCUCUGAGUCCUUCCAGCACAUUCUCCAGGCAGCCUUCUUAUCAGCCACAGCUGGCACAUAGAUGACCCUGUUUGCCAGCCUUGACUCAACCGGCAUCAGAAGUUGGGAUUUGACGGCCUAGAAUAGGAAGCGCCAAUUCUAGACCUGGUCUCUUUGAGCCUAAGCCAUCCCCAGUCCUGUUUCCCAUGGGGAAGAAAGGCAGGUGGCUGGAUAGCACUUAGGAGCAGCAGCUGGCGUGAGGGGUCGGACGUGUAGGUGUCCUUGGAGCUGUCACUGUCGGAACAGCCCGACUCAAGGCCAGGGAGGCCAGUGUGGUGGCGCCUGUCAAGGUUGAAGAGACUGGACCAGAGGAGCAAAGAGCACAUGGCUGCUGGGACCACAAGGGGACACCACAGAGCCCGGAGUCUCAGGGCAGGAAGGCGAGUGCGGCCUGAAUAGAAAAGGGAGUGGAGGAGGAGGAAUAGGGCUGGUCUGGGGGUUACAGUGACCAGCCAUCCUACAGACCCUCACUCUGCACCCCCACUUUGUAAAUUCAUCUAAAAACUGGAGGCGAAGGCACCGAUCUCAAGCUUACAGGACAGAAAGAGAGAGCGUCCGAGAAGCGGGACCGCACCACCAGCAGGCGCUGGAACUGCUUCUGGAAUCCAGUCGCAGUCCUCAUGCCUGAGACCAGAACUCAGGAGAUGGCAUGUGGCCGGCGUGGAGAGCUGGAAGGGCCUGGGGCCUGGAGCUCCAGGGCAAGGCUGUGAUGAGCUCUCCGUGCUGUGAGAGGGCCUGACCUGGCAGCGACAUCAGGACUGAGAAUGAACCAGCCUCAGAGAUCAC